CACCCAAGAGUUACCAUGCAUGAUCCGUGAAUGAUGGGUAUCAGGCCUGGACCAGGUUUGAUUCUAUAACGGUCCAGCAUCGACGGCCAUCACUGCUGAAUCGAGGCUGUUGCUCUGGCCUGGACCAGUAUCUAUUUCAGUCCCGAUGUAGUCAUAGCUGAUACAGUAAUGUCUGUUCGUCAGCACUGGUCCAGGCUGUAUAUCAGUACUGGAUCAGAUCGAUGCUUUUCAAGAUGGCAGCCCCGCGUGGACUAUCUGACAUGUUUUGUUAAAGAAAAUCAUCUUAAUCUGACUCUUUAAGAGGAAUCUUGUUGGCUGUAUACACUAGGGCUAAAUCACUGGAUGUUAUGCUAUUUUGAACCAUUUAUUACUUAAACAUGAGUAGGAUACACGAUAUUUUGAGUAAAAAGUAGGCACAUGUAGAUACACAAUCAAGCUAAAUAAAUUAAUUGAGCAGAUACAUGACUGGAAAAUAAAACGACUGACACCUUCCAAUUAAAGUUUACCACAUCUUGCCUACAAAAUCUCUAUGAUACAAAAGUAAAGACCUGGGUUUACGAGGAAUUAUCAAAGGGGUAUAAACUGCAUGAACAAACUUAUAAUAAAUUUAGGCUAAUUAUUAUUGUGAGAUUAAUGACUUCAGUUUAAUUGACUAUAAUUAGAAGUACAUACCUUUCAUUAUGGAUUCUCCGUUAACUUUCUAGUAUUGAGCCUAGCAUUGAAACAGAGCCAGAAGACCUUUCUGCAAUAAAUCAUGACACUAGUGAAGACGAUGAGAAAUCAGGCGUAAAAAUGGUUCACUACAUGUGAUUGUAACUAUGUUUUUAAUUAGAGUGGAUGUAUUAGUGAUCAUGAUGAUAAAGAUAUUGUACUGAGAGACUUAUGAAUGAUAGUCACAAGUGUGAAUUUUUGAUGCGGAAGAUUAUUCUGGAAAUAUUAGUAUAGUAGGUGCUCCUUUAAUUCAUAUUAAUUUAUUAAUUUAGCAAGGCCACUAGUAUACAUUCUAUAGUUACCUUAUCUCACUAAGUUUCAAGACAAGAUAAUCUUAGGUUUGUUUAAUUUCAUGUGAAAAGCUAAAUUCAUUAUUCAGGUUGUGAUGAACUGAAACUUUCUUGUUUAAAGCUCUUGUUAAGUUCACUUCAAAUAGCAUUGAAUUUUUUUGUGAACCUGCCUUCAUCAUGCUGGUUAAGGAAGUUAUGUUAUGGAAUUAAGCUUUGUAGGACUAUGUGUGACAAGAUACCUUUGAAAGAUCUGCUUCACUACAUGGAACCCGAGAGUUCAUUAAUGUUGGAGAUUUUGGGAAAUUAAUUUCUCAGUAAUGUGUCUUAAGUUACAAAACAUGAAGUGUCUUACUUGUGGAACAUUGGUAGACUAUGAUAAAGAAAACAAUUAUAAUCUUUUUUUGUUUUAAUAAUAAUUUCAAAUCAUUUUAAA